rnacentral:rRNA from 1 species
CCUACGGGCGGCUGCAGUGGGGAAUAUUGCGCAAUGGGCGAAAGCCUGACGCAGCGACGCCGCGUGAGGGAUGAAGGUCUUCGGAUCGUAAACCUCUGUCAGCAGGGAAGAACGGUCACUGUGCUAAUCAUCAGUGAAUUGACGUUACCUGCAAAGGAAGCACCGGCUAACUCCGUGCCAGCAGCCGCGGUAAUACGGAGGGUGCGAGCGUUAAUCGGAUUUACUGGGCGUAAAGCGCUCGUAGGCGGUAUGUCAAGUCAAGGGUGAAAUCCCCGGGCUCAACGUGGGAACUGCCUUUGAAACUGGCAAACUGGAGUGUGUGAGAGGAUAGUGGAAUUCGAGGUGUAGGAGUGAAAUGCGUAGAUAUCUGGAAGAACAUCAGUGGCGAAGGCGACUAUCUGGCACAUAACUGACGCUGAGGAGCGAAAGCGUGGGUAGCAAACAGGAUUAGAUACCCCUGUAGUC